rnacentral:lncRNA from 1 species
UUAGGAUACUCCUGAGCAGUUUAUCCGUAGUAGUUACAGGUGGUUUAAUGCCAGGGCCAGUCCCUGGCCACGCCAGCUUUGCUAACGGAGCCCCUGGGGGGUUGUUUCUGGUUUGCAGGACUGCGGGUUUUCAAGCAUUGCACUGCAAAUUCCAGCACGACGUGCGUGCCUUGCGUAGAGGGUACAUAUACAGAUCAUCCCAAUGGUUUAGAACACUGCCGGAAAUGUAAACUCUGUGAUAAAGGAGCCAACCUAGUGCCAGAAGUAGCAUGUACCUAUACGAAGAAUACUGUGUGUGGCUGUCCACCUGAGUAUUUCUGCAGUUAUUUUGGGCCUGAAGACUGUGAACUUUGUCAACCCUACACCAUCUGCUUUCCUGGCACUAUGGUAAAAGAAAGGGGCACAAAGACCACUGACAAUGUGUGUGAAGCCUGUCCUCCCGGAACCUCCUCAACAGCCAACAUGUCUUACAGUUGUACCCCAUGGCCCACAUGUGAGGAGAACUGCUGGGUACAAGGAGAGGACAGGAAUCCGUCCUCACAUUCCUCUGCUGCAGUAGUUGGUUACGUUGGAGGCGUGCUGUUAGUUGUUGCAGCUGGCCUGUGCCUUGCGUUUAUCUGGCGCAGGAGGAAGAGUUACACACCACCGGUGCAGGAGUCUGGGAUUGGACAGCAGGGUCAGGCUUUGAUAUUAACCGUGGAGAGUGGGGACCAAACAACUGUUGCUGUGCAGGAGACCGGUGCCGAUCCUAAACAAACCGUGCGUGAAUAGCCAUUUUGGUUUGAACUGUUGUGGACAGUGGAGAUGGUAAAAUAAACCCAGAAAAACCACCA